rnacentral:rRNA from 1 species
CUUAAAACCCAAAGGACUUGACGGUACCCCAUAUCCACCUAGAGGAGCCUGUCCUAUAAUCGAUAACCCCCGCUUAACCUCACCAUUUUUAGCGUAUCAGCCUGUAUACCUCCGUCGUCAGCUUACCACGUGAGCGAAAUUUAGUAAGCCUAAUGUCCUCCUACGUCAACACGUCAGGUCAAGGUGCAGCAAACAAAAUGGGAAGAGAUGGGCUACACUUUCUAGUAUAGAAAAUACGAAAGACUAUUUAUGAAACCUAGUCAGAAGGCGGAUUUAGCAGUAAAAAUGAAUCAGAAAGUCUUUUUUAACUUGGCACUGGGGUGUGU